rnacentral:rRNA from 1 species
CAGUAGCCGCGGUAAUACGUAGGUGGCAAGCGUUGUCCGGAAUUAUUGGGUGUAAAGCGCGCGCAGGUGGUUUAAUAAGUCUGAUGUGAAAGCCCACGGCUCAACCGUGGAGGGUCAUUGGAAACUGUUAAACUUGAGUGCAGGAGAGAAAAGUGGAAUUCCUAGUGUAGCGGUGAAAUGCGUAGAGAUUAGGAGGAACACCAGUGGCGAAGGCGGCUUUUUGGCCUGUAACUGACACUGAGGCGCGAAAGCGUGGGGAGCAAACAGGAUUAGAUACCCCGGUAGUCCCUGUCUCUUAUAA